GGAAGUGUGGCAGAGCGGCCGAAUGCACUCGCCUUGAAAGCGAGCGUCCGUUAGCGCGGACCAGGGGUUCAAAUCCCUUCACUUCCGCCU
rnacentral:tRNA from 1 species